CAGCCGCCGCGGUAAUACGUAGGUGGCAAGCGUUGUCCGGAAUUAUUGGGCGUAAAGGGCUCGCAGGCGGUUUCUUAAGUCUGAUGUGAAAGCCCCCGGCUCAACCGGGGAGGGUCAUUGGAAACUGGGAAACUUGAGUGCAGAAGAGGAGAGUGGAAUUCCACGUGUAGCGGUGAAAUGCGUAGUGAUGUGGAGGAACACCAGUGGCGAAGGCGACUCUCUGGUCUGUAACUGACGCUGAGGAGCGAAAGCGUGGGGAGCGAACAGGAUUAGAUACCCGCGUAGUCCCUGUCUCUUAUAC
rnacentral:rRNA from 1 species